rnacentral:rRNA from 1 species
ACUCCUGCGGGAGGCAGCAGUGGGGAAUAUUGGACAAUGGGCGCAAGCCUGAUCCAGCCAUGCCGCGUGAGUGAUGAAGGCCCUAGGGUUGUAAAGCUCUUUCACCGGUGAAGAUAAUGACGGUAACCGGAGAAGAAGCCCCGGCUAACUUCGUGCCAGCAGCCGCGGUAAUACGAAGGGGGCUAGCGUUGUUCGGAUUUACUGGGCGUAAAGCGCACGUAGGCGGACUAUUAAGUCAGGGGUGAAAUCCCGGGGCUCAACCCCGGAACUGCCUUUGAUACUGGUAGUCUUGAGUUCGAGAGAGGUGAGUGGAAUUCCGAGUGUAGAGGUGAAAUUCGUAGAUAUUCGGAGGAACACCAGUGGCGAAGGCGGCUCACUGGCUAGAUACUGACGCUGAGGUGCGAAAGCGUGGGGAGCAAACAGGAUUAGAUACCCGAGGAGUCCCAUGA